CAGGGCAUCGAUCCUCUAAGAUAUAAAAGAAGAAAAAAGUACAAAAAUCUCAUGCCACCGAUCUUAAGUAGAGCAAAUCGUCAAAAAUUGAUAAGAGCCAGGCAGAAUGCUUCUCUGUAAGAAGCUGGGUCAUUGAAAAAGAAAUUAUCCUACUUAUAUAGCCACCCUUGACCCAAAUAGGCCUAAGAACAAGAGAAAGAAGCAAGCGGUUGCUUCAUAAGGUACUUAUAUGAUAACACCUUAUAA
rnacentral:lncRNA from 1 species